UACGAAGGGGGCUAGCGUUGCUCGGAAUCACUGGGCGUAAAGCGCACGUAGGUGGGUCGUUAAGUCGGGGGUGAAAUCCUGGAGCUCAACUCCAGAACUGCCUUCGAUACUGGCGAUCUUCGAGUCCGGGAGAGGUGAGUGGAACUGCGAGUGUAGAGGUGAAAUUCGUAGAUAUUCGCAAGAACACCAGUGGCGAAAGGCGGCUCACUGGCCCGUAUA
rnacentral:rRNA from 1 species